UACGUAGGGGGCAAGCGUUGUCCGGAUUUAUUGGGCGUAAAGAGCGUGUAGGCGGCCUGACAAGUCUGCUGUGAAAACUCGAGGCUCAACCUCGAGAUGUCGGCGGAAACUGUCUGGCUAGGGUCCGGAAGAGGAGAGUGGAAUUCCUGGUGUAGCGGUGAAAUGCGCAGAUAUCAGGAAGAACACCUAUGGCGAAGGCAGCCUCCUGGGCCAGCACUGACGCUCAUGCACGAAAGCGUGGGGAGCAAACAGG
rnacentral:rRNA from 1 species